rnacentral:rRNA from 1 species
UACGACCUACGGGAGCAGCAGUGAGGAAUAUUGGUCAAUGGUCGGGAGACUGAACCAGCCAAGCCGCGUGAGGGAUGAAGGUACAGAGUAUCGUAAACCUAAUUGGGCAGGGAAAAAAGGCGGGGACGCGUCCCCGGAUGAGUGUACCUGAAGAAAAAGCAUCGGCUAACUCCGUGCCAGCAGCCGCGGUAAUACGGAGGAUGCGAGCGUUAUCCGGAUUUAUUGGGUUUAAAGGGGGCGC